AGUGAACGCUGGCGGUAGGCCUAACACAUGCAAGUCGAACGGCAGCACAGUAAGAGCUUGCUCUUACGGGUGGCGAGUGGCGGACGGGUGAGGAAUACAUCGGAAUCUACUUUUUCGUGGGGGAUAACGUAGGGAAACUUACGCUAAUACCGCAUACGACCUACGGGUGAAAGCAGGGGAUCUUCGGACCUUGCGCGAUUGAAUGAGCCGAUGUCGGAUUAGCUAGUUGGCGGGGUAAAGGCCCACCAAGGCGACGAUCCGUAGCUGGUCUGAGAGGAGGAUCAGCCACACUGAAACUGAGACACGGUCCAGACUCCUACGGGCGGCAGCAGUGGGGAAUUUUGGACAAGGGGCGCAAGCCUGAUCCAGCCAUACCGCGUGGGUGAAGAAGGCCUUCGGGUUGUAAAGCCCUUUUGUUGGGAAAGAAAAGCAGCAAGUUAAUACCCCGCUGUUCUGACGGUACCCAAAGAAUAAGCCCCGGCUCUCUUCG
rnacentral:rRNA from 1 species